GUCUGCAGCCAUACCACCCUGAAUGCACCCGAUCUUGUCUGAUCUUGGAAGCUAAACAGGGUCAGGCCUGGUUAGUACAUGGAUGGAAGACAGAUCUUCAGAAGAGACUGUUUGGAGACU
rnacentral:rRNA from 1 species